AUAUGCAUGUAUCUUCAUUUUACAAUAAGUAAAAACCAUUAUAGGGAUGAUUUAUCCCGUUUUGGUGAGGCCAAACCCACCAAGUCUCCUCGCAACCCUUCGUUUGCGCCGACGAAGGUGCCCACAAGCCUCCUAACUCCCUAAAGGUUAAACUAGGAGUGUUACAUGAACGUUACGAACAACGAAUAGGUUAAACAUUAACCAACUCAACGAAAGGGCUAAAACUCACCUAGAGAGUAGAAAUCCCCUCACAAGCUCCAAAUGGAAGCUAGAACCCUUCCAAUCCCACCUAGAGGAAGGCUCUAAUCCAAAAAAUCAAGCUUCAAAAGCCCUAAAUCCAAAACCCCCAAAUAAACCCUAAGUUUUCCAUUUCUAGGGUUUCUAUACAAAAAUCAUGAAAAUCAUUAUCUAGAGAGGGGAAACAAGCAACUAACCUCAAGAGAAGCUCCAAACAAGGCUUGGGAUGAGCUAGGGUUGAAGACCUCUCCUCCAACUAGCUCCAAAACCAAGCUCCAAGCUCCUUCCAUGGUGGAAUUCACACCAAGAAGCAAAAAGAGGAAAUAAAUCAUCAAAAAUCCCAACAAAAGAAGGAAAAUCAAAGAGAGGGUUUAGAUGGCCUCCCUACCUUCUCCUCCUCUGGUCUCAAGCUCAGGGAACUCCAAAGGGGCGUGGGGUGCUUUAUAGAUAAGCAACAAUUGCAAAAACACCCUCCCAGAACAAGCAGU
rnacentral:lncRNA from 1 species